UACGGGGGGUGCGAGCGUUGUCCGGAAUCACUGGGCGUAAAGGGCGCGUAGGUGGCCUGAUAAGGGUGUGGUGAAAGUCCGGGGCUUAACCCCGGAUCUGCCGUGCCGACUGUUAGGCUAGAGUGCUGUAGGGGCAGGCGGAAUUCCGGGUGUAGCGGUGAAAUGCGUAGAGAUGCGGAGGAACACCGAUGGCGAAGGCAGCCCCCUGGGCUAACACUGACGCUCAGGCACGAAAGCGUGGGGAGCAAACAGG
rnacentral:rRNA from 1 species